AGUGAACGCUGGCGGUAGGCCUAACACAUGCAAGUCGAACGGCAGCACAGUAAGAGCUUGCUCUUACGGGUGGCGAGUGGCGGACGGGUGAGGAAUACAUCGGAAUCUACUUUUUCGUGGGGGAUAACGUAGGGAAACUUACGCUAAUACCGCAUACGACCUACGGGUGAAAGCAGGGGAUCUUCGGACCUUGCGCGAUUGAAUGAGCCGAUGUCGGAUUAGCUAGUUGGCGGGGUAAAGGCCCACCAAGGCGACGAUCCGUAGCUGGUCUGAGAGGAUGAUCAGCCACACUGGAACUGAGACACGGUCCAGACUCCUACAGGAGGCAGCAGUGGGGAAUAUUGGACAAUGGGCACAAGCCUGAUCCAGCCAUACCGCGUGGGUGAAGAAGGCCUUCGGGUUGUAAAGCCCUUUUGUUGGGAAAGAAAAGCAGCAGGUUAAUACCCCGCUGUUCUGACGGUACCCAAAGAAUAAGCACCGGCUAACUUCGUG
rnacentral:rRNA from 1 species